rnacentral:rRNA from 1 species
GGGUGACUGCGUACCUUUUGUAUAAUGGGUCAGCGACUUAUAUUCUGUAGCAAGGUUAACCGUAUAGGGGAGCCGCAGGGAAACCGAGUCUUAACUGGGCGUUAAGUUGCAGGGUAUAGACCCGAAACCCGGUGAUCUAGCCAUGGGCAGGUUGAAGGUUGGGUAACACUAACUGGAGGACCGAACCGACUAAUGUUGAAAAAUUAGCGGAUGACUUGUGGCUGGGGGUGAAAGGCCAAUCAAACCGGGAGAUAGCUGGUUCUCCCCGAAAGCUAUUUAGGUAGCGCCUCGUGAAUUCAUCUUCGGGGGUAGAGCACUGUUUCGGCUAGGGGGUCAUCCCGACUUACCAACCCGAUGCAAACUACGAAUACCGAAGAAUGUUAUCACGGGAGACACACGGCGGGUGCUAACGUCCGUCGUGAAGAGGGAAACAACCCAGACCGCCAGCUAAGGUCCCAAAGUCAUGGUUAAGUGGGAAACGAUGUGGGAAGGCCCAGACAGCCAGGAUGUUGGCUUAGAAGCAGCCAUCAUUUAAAGAAAGCGUAAUAGCUCACUGGUCGAGUCGGCCUGCGCGGAAGAUGUAACGGGGCUAAACCAUGCACCGAAGCUGCGGCAGCGACACUAUGUGUUGUUGGGUAGGGGAGCGUUCUGUAAGCCGUUGAAGGUGGCCUGUGAGGGUUGCUGGAGGUAUCAGAAGUGCGAAUGCUGACAUAAGUAACGAUAAUGCGGGUGAAAAACCCGCACGCCGGAAGACCAAGGGUUCCUGUCCAACGUUAAUCGGGGCAGGGUGAGUCGACCCCUAAGGCGAGGCCGAAAGGCGUAGUCGAUGGGAAACAGGUUAAUAUUCCUGUACUCGGUGUUACUGCGAAGGGGGGACGGAGAAGGCUAUGUUGGCCGGGCGACGGUUGUCCCGGUUUAAGCAUGUAGGCGGAUGUUCCAGGUAAAUCCGGAACGUUACUAACGCUGAGGUGUGAUGACGAGGCACUACGGUGCUGAAGUGACAAAUGCCCUGCUUCCAGGAAAAGCCUCUAAGCAUCAGGUAACAUCAAAUCGUACCCCAAACCGACACAGGUGGUCAGGUAGAGAAUACCAAGGCGCUUGAGAGAACUCGGGUGAAGGAACUAGGCAAAAUGGUGCCGUAACUUCGGGAGAAGGCACGCUGAUGGUA